GUACUUUCACUCACUUGCCAGGCUUUGAAAAAUACCCAUGGACCAUAGCAAAACAAGCUGGAGUGGGAAAGCUUAUAUCUUACAGGUUAAGACCUGCUCUUCCAAGAUUCCCAGCUGUUGGAAGUGACUUUUCCAGGCAAGGACACAGUCAGCAACCAAAGUCGUAUUUUGGAUGCUUGUCAACUUGCAGUGUAACACCAAACGCUGAAUGUCUACGGCACCUUUCAUCCCAGGCUCUCGGAACAGAUAUAAGGGACUCGAUGGACUCCCUUCAGAAGACAGCUCUAUGCCUCCUGUUCCUGUCCAUUUCUUCGGGUGCUUCCGACAGCCACUUUGCAAGCUUCAACUGCAGCAGCAUCAAGACAGAAUAUAACAAAACUGCUGUAAUUUCAUGCAACAGCAGCAAGAAGAUUACAAAUGUGGCAGUUACGCACUGUGAAAGUUGUGCUAAAGAGAACUCGUCCUUCAAAACAGUUAUUAAUACAUGGGAAAAAAUUUUUUUGAGUGAAGAUGGAAGAAUUCAGUUGAAGCUACACACUUAUAGUGCAGAAGUGCACAUACAGAAAGUAAAAGCCACUGAUCAAGGAGGUUAUAAAUGGAAUCUUUAUUCUGACGCUGGGGAAUAUCAUAGAUGUACAGCCCUGGAGA